GAAAGAAUAUCGGAGACGGAUGGGCAUGCGGCGCAUUAGCUAGUUGGCGGGGUAACGGCCCACCAAGGCGACGAUGCGUAGGGGUUCUGAGAGGAAGGUCCCCCACACUGGUACUGAGACACGGACCAGACUCCUACGGGAGGCAGCAGUGAGGAAUAUUGGUCAAUGGGCGAGAGCCUGAACCAGCCAAGUCGCGUGAGGGAGUACUGCCCUAUGGGUUGUAAACCUCUUUUGUCGGGGAGCAAAAGCCGGACGUGUCCGGCUGUGAGAGUACCCGAAGAAAAAGCAUCGGCUAACUCCGUGCCAGCAGCCGCGGUAAUACGGAGGAUGCGAGCGUUAUCCGGAUUUAUUGGGUUUAAAGGGUGCGCAGGCGGAUUUUUAAGUCAGCGGUCAAAUCGUGGGGCUCAACCCCAUCCAGCCGUUGAAACUGGGGAUCUAGAGUGUGCGAGAGGUAUGCGGAAUGCGUGGUGUAGCGGUGAAAUGCAUAGAUAUCACGCAGAACCCCGAUUGCGAAGGCAGCAUACCGGUGCACAACUGACGCUCAGGCACGAAAGCGUGGGUAUCGAACAGGAUUAGAUACCCUGGUAGUCCACGCAGUAAACGAUGAAUGCUACCUGUUUGGCCAGAUUGAAGGCUGAGC
rnacentral:rRNA from 1 species